rnacentral:rRNA from 1 species
AUUGAACGCUGGCGGCAUGCCUUACACAUGCAAGUCGAACGGUAACGGGCCUUCGGGUGCCGACGAGUGGCGAGCGGGUGAGUAAUACAUCGGAACGUGCCCGAUCGUGGGGGAUAACGAGGCGAAAGCUUUGCUAAUACCGCAUACGAUCUACGGAUGAAAGCAGGGGACCGCAAGGCCUUGCGCGGACGGAGCGGCCGGUGGCAGAUUAGGUAGUUGGUGGGAUAAAAGCUUACCAAGCCGACGAUCUGUAGCUGGUCUGAGAGGAUGAUCAGCCACACUGGGACUGAGACACGGCCCAGACUCCUACGGGAGGCAGCAGUGGGGAAUUUUGGACAAUGGGCGCAAGCCUGAUCCAGCCAUGCCGCGUGCAGGAUGAAGGCCUUCGGGUUGUAAACUGCUUUUGUACGGAACGAAAAGCCUUCUUUUAAUACAGGAGGGUCAUGACGGUACCGUAAGAAUAAGCACCGGCUAACUACGUG